GCGCCCUUUCCUUAAAAAGGCUCCCAGGAGCCUUUUCUUCUUCAUUUAGGAGAAGAAAAAAAAAAAAAAAAAAGAGGAAGGUCUUUUCCUUGGAAAAAUUGUGAUCUAUUAAGAUUCAAUCGUCCAAAUUCAAAUUCGACUUCGGUAACGUGAUCUACGAAGUCUGAUCUACGUUUCUAUCGAUUGGUUUGAGGAUUUGUCGUGUGGAGCUUGCUAAACACUCUCCGAGUGUUAGAUUUACAUUUGGUGAAAUUUUUGUGAUGCAUUCCAUGAUGGUGUCUAGGAGACCUAGUGCUUAAUAUCCGCGUAGCCAAGAUGCUUGCAGGACAUCGUCCCAGGAUGCUAGACGAGAUAAUUAAUUAUGUGCAGUCCCUUCAAAAUCAGGUCGAGUUCCUUUCUAUGAAGCUCACUGCCGCGAGCUCUUUUUAUGACUUCAACUCAGAGACAGAUGAUUUAGAAACAAUGCAGGUGCUUCCCCUCAAGUUCUAUUUUGGUUCAUUUUGUACAAUUAUAUAUGUCCUACAAUUUGUGAUUGACCCGUAAUCUUGAU